rnacentral:snRNA from 1 species
AGAUGUGAAGGAGAUCUGGCUGCGACAUCUGUCACCCGCUGAUCACCAAGGUUGAUUCGACUUGAUGUGGCUGGCUAGGCGGGCAUCCCUUUCCUUCUACCACUUCCCAUGCACCCCUCCUGAAGCUGCGUGUUUGGUCAAAGAGGAUUCCAAUCCCUGGUAGAGGAAGACCAUUAUUCCUUUCAAGAGUAGCUGUGCUCCCCUGCAAGAACCUGCAAACAGCUCAAAAAAACGAAAACCAAUAAAGGUCUCUAAUGUAAAAGACUCCAGGUU